UACGUAGGGUGCAAGCGUUGUCCAGAAUUACUGGGCGUAAAGCGCACGUAGGCGGAUUUGUAAGUCAGGGGUGAAAUCCCGGGGCUCAACCUCGGAACUGCCUUUGAUACUGCAAAUCUCGAGUCCGGAAGAGGUGAGUGGAAUUCCUAGUGUAGAGGUGAAAUUCGUAGAUAUUAGGAAGAACACCAGUGGCGAAGGCGGCUCACUGGUCCGGUACUGACGCUGAGGUGCGAAAGCGUGGGGAGCGAACAGG
rnacentral:rRNA from 1 species